rnacentral:lncRNA from 1 species
CCUCAAAGGAGUCACUGUUCACAGUUUAGUAAGCAGGUGUGUAGAGAAAACGCCUUCCAGCUGGACUGUGAGGAAAGACCAGUGUGUGUGCUCUUCCCUUUCGUUGAGUUCUCUGGUCUGAGUCUACAGUCUUCCAGGUGGUUUUCCCUGUACACGGAAGUCGGGCCCUUGGGAAGGGUCAUCUAGGAACCUGUUGUAAGACCCAGGAGUCGGGACCUGCAGAUUCAUAUGGACAUUCAAGUUCAAGGAGCCGUGUUCCGGUCAAGAGGAGAUGGCAUCGGCAUCCUCUACAAGGAGGCGUGUGCUCUGUCCAAGGGGACAAGUGCACCCGUGUGCCGAGACCUGUUCUGGUCAAAGCUGCUUCCUACCCUGCUGACCCAUCUAGCAGCACUGAGACGCGCCCACCAGCCGUUCCCACCCCCUGCCUUCUGUGUACUCCUCCCCGGCCUCAGGAAGAGGCCCAGGUCCACCACUCCUCUGUGGUCUGUGAAGUUCGGGACUGCCUGAGGGAUUCCCCCCAGCAGGGUUGGGCGAUCCCCACACAGGCCUGCAGGUGGCGCCACCUCAGCAGGUGCGCCUGUGGGAGGGAACCGCAUGGUCUCCACCACCGCUUUUCUUACACUUGACAGCUGCUCAGGAGGGUUUCUACCAGGUGAGCGAUCACAUGGCCGCACUGGUGCCUUCCCUUACAAUGGACAGCUGUUCGGGGUGAAAUGCAAGCGUGGCCUUUUGGGUCAAAAGGCUGAACCUGAAAUUGCAGAGCCUGAGCUACAGGCAUUUAAAAAUGGGCACUUUGGAGCUUAAGUUUCAUUUUAAUCAAGAAAAAUCUAUUUCC